UACGUAGGGACCGAGCGUUGUCCGGAUUCAUUGGGCGUAAAGAGCUCGUAGGCGGCCACUCAAGUCGAAUGUGAAACCUCGAGGCUUAACCUCGAGCCUGCAUUUGAUACUGGGCGGCUAGAGUCUGGUAGGGGGAUCUGGAAUUCCUGGUGUAGCGGUGGAAUGCGCAGAUAUCAGGAGGAACACCGGUGGCGAAGGCGGGAUCCUGGGCCAGUACUGACGCUGAGGAGCGAAAGCGUGGGGAGCGAACAGG
rnacentral:rRNA from 1 species